CCUACGGGUGACAGCAGUGGGGAAUAUUGCACAAUGGGGGAAACCCUGAUGCAGCGACGCCGCGUGAGUGAAGAAGUAAUUCGUUACGUAAAGCUCUAUCAGCAGGGAAGAAAUACUUACCUUACGGUCAGCAGACGGUACCUGAGUAAGAAGCCCCGGCUAACUACGUGCCAGCAGCCGCGGUAAUACGUAGGGGGCAAGCGUUAUCCGGAUUUACUGGGUGUAAAGGGAGCGUAGACGGUAAUGCAAGUCUGGAGGGAAAGGCGGGGGCCCAACCCCCGCACUGCGCUGGAAACUGUGUAACUGGAGUGGAGGAGAGGCAGGCGGAAUUCCGAGUGUAGCGGUGAAAGGCGUAGAUAUUAGGAGGAACACCAGUGGCGAAGGCGGCCUGCUGGACUGUAACUGACGUUGAGGCUCGAAAGCGUGGGGAGCAAACAGGAUUAGAUACCCCUGAGUC
rnacentral:rRNA from 1 species